GAUGAACGCUGGCGGCGUGCCUAAUACAUGCGAGUCGAGCGAACGGACGAGAAGCUUGCUUCUCUGAUGUUAGCGGCGGACGGGUGAGUAACACGUGGAUAACCUACCUAUAAGACUGGGAUAACUUCGGGAAACCGGAGCUAAUACCGGAUAAUAUUUUGAACCGCAUGGUUCAAAAGUGAAAGACGGUCUUGCUGUCACUUAUAGAUGGAUCCUCGCUGCAUUAGCUAGUUGGUAAGGUAACGGCUUACCAAGGCAACGAUGCAUAGCCGACCUGAGAGGGUGAUCGGCCACACUGGAACUGAGACACGGUCCAGACUCCUACGGGAGGCAGCAGUAGGGAAUCUUCCGCAAUGGGCGAAAGCCUGACGGAGCAACGCCGCGUGAGUGAUGAAGGUCUUCGGAUCGUAAAACUCUGUUAUUAGGGAAGAACAUAUGUGUAAGUAACUGUGCACAUCUUGACGGUACCUAAUCAGAAAGCCACGGCUAACUACGUG
rnacentral:rRNA from 1 species